GACGAACGCUGGCGGCGUGCUUAACACAUGCAAGUCGAACGGUAAGGCCCUUCGGGGUACACGAGUGGCGAACGGGUGAGUAACACGUGGGUGAUCUGCCCUGCACUUCGGGAUAAGCCUGGGAAACUGGGUCUAAUACCGGAUAGGACCACUGCCUGCAUGGGUGGUGGUGGAAAGCUUUUGCGGUGUGGGACGGGCCCGCGGCCUAUCAGCUUGUUGGUGGGGUAAUGGCCUACCAAGGCGACGACGGGUAGCCGGCCUGAGAGGGUGACCGGUCACACUGGGACUGAGAUACGGCCCAGACUCCUACGGGAGGCAGCAGUGGGGAAUAUUGCACAAUGGGCGCAAGCCUGAUGCAGCGACGCCGCGUGAGGGAUGACGGCCUUCGGGUUGUAAACCUCUUUCAGCUAUGACGAAGCGCAAGUGACGGUAGUAGCAGAAGAAGGACCGGCCAACUACGUGCCAGCAGCCGCAGUAA
rnacentral:rRNA from 1 species